UGGCCAUUUUCUCAUCAUCCUUAACAAGCUGCUCUGGGGACAUAUCAUCUGUAUUUUCUUCAACAUUGCUUUUAACGUCAUCAUCGAUAUUAGGAUCUGGUGUAUACUGCAUUACUUCUAAUUCCUUCUUUAGUUCUUGAUGAUAUUGUUUUUCAUGAAGCGCCAUCUGCAGCCACAAACGCAUUUAAUUACAUUUUCAAAUAUAAAAAUUUAAUAAAAAAAGUAGCAAGCAACCUCUUGUUUUUUCUCAGCAGCAGCUUUAGCUUUUGUCCUGUCGUUGAUCCCUUCAGCAAGUAGAUUCUGCGCAUUCUCAAGAUCAUCGUGUUCGCCACCUGGCAUUGGAAGGAUUUCUUUUCUUGCGGCUGCUUGAAGCCUUUUUAUGGUUUCUCCAUAUUCAGGCUAUUGUUUCUUCAUCAUCUUCGUUAUCAUCAGCAACGUUUUCAACAAGGUGCAUUAAUGCACCAGGUUCAUUAGCAGGAAGUUGGUCCUGAAGCUGUGCUAACCUAAGCUCAGAUUCCUCAUCAUUUGCUCCAAUUGCUCGGUCUUUAGCAUCAGCGUAUCUUGUCAAAGCAUAUAAAUCUACAGAAAGAUUUUAAAACAGUUAUCCAGCAAGAAUUUAAACAUGUUAUAGCAAGUUCAGGUUCAUACCUGCUGCUAAAGCUUUCAAUCGAGGAUCAAGAAUAGGUGGAUAUUUCAACUUAAUUGAAUGAUAUAGUCUGAGAUUAACAAAACCAAGGAGAGUCUGCAUAUCAAGUAAGUGUAUACGUAAGUAACAGUUAAAAAUAUAUAACCGAAGUAUCGAACUUUAAUUACUGAUCACAAACCUCAUAAAAUUCCAAGAAGGUAAGCAUGAUCUUAUAAUCCACAUCUUGAGGCAUGACUUGUUGGAGUGCAUGAGGAGUCAACCAUGUCACCUUUUGACCUUCAACCUCUGCCUAAACAUGGGUUAAUUGGUAACACACGUUAGCCGAAAUUACACAUGCAAAAGAUUAAGAAACAGAUAUGUCAGGAUCAUUGUACCUGGUAAUAUAUUCCUUUCACUGAUAUGAAAGCCUUUCGCAAUUUAUGUGUGCGGGAGAUAUACGCCUGCCACUCAAGGCUUAACCUGAUUAAACAUAUAUGCCAUUAUAACUUUUUUUAAGAAAAUUUUGAUUAAAGUAUAAAAAAAACAAAAAAUGGAGCUAGAAGAAAUCUCAGUGAGACAACGCAUACCCUCGACAGUUGUGGAUUCUUUCUGCUUGAAUAUUUUCCCUUUCUAUAGCGGGUAAGGCAGCGAAAAGGUGCACCAUUGUAAGACAGUCAUCCAAAUCUCUUAAUGCAUCGAUAAACUUCGGAUAUCUAAAGCCAGACACAAAAUACAUAUCAAGAAAGCGAUAUAUUAAACGAAACUAAAAACAGCGAGUAAAAAUGUUAAAAACUUAAAUAAGAUAAAAACCAACCUCUCUCGAAUAAGCAUAUCAAGAGUGUAAGUAGGCUUUCUAGUCAACAACCGUUCAGCAAGAUCCUUGUUCUUCUUAGACACAGCUUUCUUAACCUUUUUCUCAUACGCUCGCAUCUCACGAAAUUUAUCAAGAAGUGGCUCAUGUUUAAGAAACAAGAUAUCCUUCAUAUGAUAAUAAGUAUGGUGGUUUCCCUUCACUUUUUUCUUCGGGUCCCGCGGGAAAACACCUUUGAAGAUACAUAAUCUCCUGUUGAAUUCCACACCCAAACAUUAAAAAUUGUUGUUAACUCAUACAUUAAACCAAACUUAUUCAUUGAUUAAACACUAAUCUCUUCAAACCUAUAAACAUGAUUUAGGGGUGAGCAAUAACCAAACCGUUAACCGACGAAACCGAACCGAAAUUAACUGAAACCGAAUUAACCGAAAAUCGGUUAUCGGUUUUCUAAUACCAUCAGUUAACCGAACCAAACCAAAUCAUUUAUAUCUAUAUCAUGUAUUUAUACCUCCAUUUCAUUUAAUUAUAACUCCAAUUCAUGUAUAUAUACACAUCUAUUUCAUGUAUGUAUAUCUCCAUUACAUGUACUUGUAAAAAAAACUUAACCCUUGUUUCGUUUGGUUAUUAACCGAAAUUAACUGAACCGAACCCAAAACUGACAAUUUAACCGAAUAAAGAACCGUUAAUCCAAUGACUUCGGUUACGGUUUCGAUUAAUGGUAAUAACCGAACCAUGCACACACAUAAAUUUCAACACUAAAUGAGAAUAUAUAGUUAAUAAAGUCUUAAAAUUCCCAACAUAUAUCUUUAGGAAUAAUAAUAUUAAAUGAAUACCUGAAAACAGAGAGGCUGACUUGAAGGUACUUGACAGCUUGAGACCUGGUGAUGUAUCUGGCGGCGUUGCCUUCCUUCUUCUUCCCCUGCAAAUUAGAACAUAAGAAUAUAUUAUUCAAGUUUUGUAAUGAUUUUAUUUGCCAAUUUGAUAUCAACUUACAGCAGGUCUGUAGUGCUUCGGCAUGGCUAUUGAUUGUUGAAGAACGAGGGUCUGAUAAACCCUAAAAGUUGGGUUCUCCCUCGGGUACGUUCAGAGAUUGAGUAUAUAUAGUUUAAGUUUGGGCCCAUUUAUGGUUUUACUUGGGCUUUUCUGUGUUUCUCAAACGGUGUGACAAAUCGUUUACGAAUUUAUGGGCCCAAAAGUUAUGAUCGUAUCUAGGGACGCUAAGAAUUCGUUUCGAAUUCGAAAUAUUUGAAACUAGGUUAAAACCCCGUGUAGUACACGGGUGAAAAAAAUUAAUCAUAUAUAUGAAAUAAUAAAAAAAAUAUCUUUAAGAACCUCAUGUAUUUGUACUGGUUGAAUAAAUGUAAUUUUAU
rnacentral:lncRNA from 1 species